GGGCUGCUUGCUAUCAGCAAAGUAGAGAGAUUUAACGGAUCUUGCCGAGAAUGCAAGCCUCAUUCCAAGGAAGCCAGAGCUCAGAAGACAUGGAACAAAUACAAUGAAAACAUAACUUGAGGUGAGGGCAAUCGUUAUUUGACUAAUAAAUUCCGUAGGCUGAUAGUGAAAGACUGAACCUUUUGUCUAUCAGUUAAUUUAAUAAACAAAUAAAAGGGACUUUCAAGUUAAGAGAGCCAUGUAAUCCUGUGGAAGAUGUUUCAGCAAAUUGCUAUGUAAAAACCAACACCAUUGCUACACUAGGCUAGUCUUGCAGAUUUUCCUCCUGUGUCCAAUCUGGCAUCUCAGAGCACUAAAACCCUACUCCCUCUUACGUUCUGGUCUUUCUUUUAUUCAAAAUCCAGGUCGGAAAAUGUCCCCUGAAUAUUUAUGUCAAUGUCCUACCUUAGUGAAUAUUACUUAAUACUGUGGCUCCUUUAAAGCAUGUAAGUAGCUUGCAUGUAAGUACAUUCUGACUACUUUUUUUUAAUUAUCCUUUCCCUCCUCCUCCUCUUUCUCCUUUUAUAUCUUCUUUUCCUUAUCCUUUCUAUUUUUUUUUAAUUUUCCUUUUUCACUGUGAUCAUUAAGCCAUAUGCUACAGGGUACUGUGCAAUCUACAGAGGGAGAAAGUUAAAAUAAGAUGGGUUUUGGAGGUAAAUAUCCUACUUGUAAAUGCUGCCUUGGUAGAGACUGGCUGUGGGAAAUCAAGCAACUUCUGAAACUUUACAAGACAGAUUUCUCAUCUACAACAUGAAGAAAAUAAUCCAUUGUCCACAGGCUUCUUGUGAGGGUAAACAGACUGAGUAGAUUAAAGCACCACAGUACAAUCUGGGAUAAAUGGGCACUUGACAUUUGUGAGUUUCUGCAAUCUCCUUUGAUCAUGAGCUCAGAUGGUAGGCACUGGGAGUUCUGUUUCAUACAAGCACAAUUAUGGAGCCCUGGGGGAGUAAGUUCCAAAGGGAUAUCUCCCUAGAUGAUUCUACCAACCCUCAUUUUCCCCCACGGAGCAAUUAAACCAUCUGACCAAGAAGGUAGUUAGCACGGGGUUUAAGGAAGGUAGGUUAAGGAGUAGGAGAGAACUGAAUUGGAGCCCAGCUGCUCUACUGACUAGCUCUUGAUGUUGGUCAAGUGCCCAACACUUGUAUUUAAACUCAAGUAUGUUUUCCACACGUACAAAAAUGGAGACAACCUACUUCAUUUACCUUUGUGGUGAGGAGCUAGCAAAUGUUAAGCACUUCAAAUGAUAUCUGGCACACAGCAAAUUUGGUUACUGUUAUUUUUUCAAGAAUAGCCCCAAGAGGGUACAUGCUUAGGACCAUAGGACUUCAGUAGAGUAAGAGGGCACAGUGAGCUGGUAAAAACCAUGCUUUUCACCUGGGUGGGUUAGGCUCCCACCUCUUUCCCUCACUAAUAACAGAUUAG
rnacentral:lncRNA from 10 species